rnacentral:rRNA from 1 species
GACGAACGCUGGCGGCGUGCUUAACACAUGCAAGUCGAACGGAAAGGCCCUGCUUUUGUGGGGUGCUCGAGUGGCGAACGGGUGAGUAACACGUGAGUAACCUGCCCUUGACUUUGGGAUAACUUCAGGAAACUGGGGCUAAUAACGGAUAGGAGCUCCUGCUGCAUGGUGGGGGUUGGAAAGUUUCGGCGGUUGGGGAUGGACUGGCGGCUUAUCGGCUUGUUGGUGGGGUAGUGGCUUACCAAGGCUUUGACGGGUAGCCGGCCUGAGAGGGUGACCGGCCACAUUGGGACUGAGAUACGGCCCAGACUACUACGGUAGGCAGCAGUGGGGAAGAGUGCACAAUGGGCGGAAGCCUGAUGCAGCAACGCCGCGUGCGGGAUGACGUCCUUCGGGUAGUAAACCGCUUUCGCCUGUGACGAAGCGUGAGUGACGGUAAUGGGUAAAGAAGCACCGGCUAACUACGUG